GACGAACGCUGGCGGCGUGCUUAACACAUGCAAGUCGAGCGGUAAGGCUCCUUCGGGAGUACACGAGCGGCGAACGGGUGAGUAACACGUGAGCAAUCUGCCCUUCACUUUGGGAUAACUCCGGGAAACCGGUGCUAAUACCGAAUGCGACCACUUCAGGCAUCUGACGGUGGUGGAAAGUUCCGGCGGUGAAGGAUGAGCUCGCGGCCUAUCAGCUUGUUGGUGAGGUAAUGGCUCACCAAGGCUUCGACGGGUAGCCGGCCUGAGAGGGUGACCGGCCACACUGGGACUGAGACACGGCCCAGACUCCUACGGGAGGCAGCAGUGGGGAAUAUUGGACAAUGGGCGAAAGCCUGAUCCAGCAACGCCGCGUGAGGGAUGACGGCCUCGGUUGUAACGUACUUUCUAGCAGGGACGAAGCGAAAGUAGACGGUACCGUAGCAAAG
rnacentral:rRNA from 1 species